AUGAACGCUGGCGGCAUGCCUAACACAUGCAAGUCGAACGAAGGCUUCGUCCUUAGUGGCGCACGGGUGCGUAACGCGUGGGAAUCUGCCCUCAGGUUCGGAAUAACAGAGAGAAAUUGCUGCUAAUACCGGAUGAUAUCGCGAGAUCAAAGAUUUAUCGCCUGAGGAUGAGCCCGCGUAGGAUUAGCUAGUUGGUGUGGUAAAGGCGCACCAAGGCGACGAUCCUUAGCUGGUCUGAGAGGAUGAUCAGCCACACUGGGACUGAGACACGGCCCAGACUCCUACGGGAGGCAGCAGUGGGGAAUAUUGGACAAUGGGCGAAAGCCUGAUCCAGCAAUGCCGCGUGAGUGAUGAAGGCCUUAGGGUUGUAAAGCUCUUUUACCCGGGAUGAUAAUGACAGUACCGGGAGAAUAAGCUCCGGCUAACUCCGUGCCAGCAGCCGCGGUAAUACGGAGGGAGCUAGCGUUAUUCGGAAUUACUGGGCGUAAAGCGCACGUAGGCGGUUUUGUAAGUUAGAGGUGAAAGCCCGGAGCUCAACUCCGGAAUUGCCUUUAAGACUGCAUCGCUUGAAUCCAGGAGAGGUGAGUGGAAUUCCGAGUGUAGAGGUGAAAUUCGUAGAUAUUCGGAAGAACACCAGUGGCGAAGGCGGCUCUACUGGACUGGUAUGACGCUGA
rnacentral:rRNA from 1 species